rnacentral:sRNA from 1 species
GAGAACUGUGUUUAUGAAACUGUAGUUUUGCCUUUGGAUGAAAGGGCAUUUGAGAAGACUUUAACACCAAUCAUACAGGAAUAUUUUGAGCAUGGAGAUACUAAUGAAGUUGCGGAAAUGUUAAGAGAUUUAAAUCUUGGUGAAAUGAAAAGUGGAGUACCAGUGUUGGCAGUAUCCUUAGCAUUGGAGGGGAAGGCUAGUCAUAGAGAGAUGACAUCUAAGCUUCUUUCUGACCUCUGUGGGACAGUAAUGAGCACAAGUGAUGUGGAAAGCGUAAAGAUAGUGUGUGGGGCUCUGGAGGUGGUCAGCAGUCUGUCAAUCACCUUGUUAAAGAGAUUGAUAUGCUGCUGAAAGAAUAUUUACUCUCUGGAGACAUAUCUGAAGCUGAACAUUGCCUUAAGGAACUGGAAGUACCUCAUUUUCACCAUGAGCUUGUAUAUGAAGCUAUUAUAAUGGUUUUGGAGUCAACUGGAGAAAGUACAUUUAAGAUGAUUUUGGAUUUAUUAAAGUCCCUUUGGAAGUCUUCUACCAUUACUGUAGACCAAAUGAAAAGAGGUUAUGAGAGAAUUUACAAUGAAAUUCCGGACAUUAAUCUGGAUGUCCCACAUUCAUACUCUGUGCUGGAGCGGUUUGUAGAAGAAUGUUUUCAGGCUGGAAUAAUUUCCAAACAACUCAGAGAUCUUUGUCCUUCAAGGGGCAGAAAGCGUUUUGUAAGCGAAGGAGAUGGAGGUCGUCUUAAACCAGAGAGCUACUGAAUAUAAGAACUCUUGCAGUCUUAGAUGUUAUAAA